AGGUUGGAACUGAAAUUGGACUUGCAGCUGCAGGACCAGCUUCUUGCAGGGUGAACUGUUCGUGCACUCAAAGAUGUUCAGUCCUGUGGGGAGGCAGACUCAGUGGAUCACCAACUAUACUACAGAGUUCUGAAAUAUCGGGAUGGAAGCAGAACAAGGAUGCAAGAGGAACAUGGAGGAGGGACAUCUACAGCAGCCAUGAAGUUGGGAUGGCUUCCCAGUGGAGAAAUUGAGCCCUGAGCUAAGUAUUUCAAAGCAGCUUCACACAAAAGCCUCUGACCCCCCGGAAGGGCCUCAUCGGAUCAUGGGCGCCACGUAGUUGGCAGGGAAGAGGCCCAGUUUGUUGUGCAGGCGGCCGGUCCACCAGGACGGGUUGGAGCUGUCCAGGAC